rnacentral:rRNA from 1 species
UACGUAGGGUCCGAGCGUUGUCCGGAGUUACUGGGCGUAAAGCGCGCGCAGGCGGCGACGCCAGCCCGGCGUGAAAGCCCCCGGCUCAACCGGGGAGGGUCGUCGGGGACAACGUCGCUUGAGGACGGCAGGGGCCGGUGGAAUGCCCGGUGUAGUGGUGAAAUGCGUAGAGAUCGGGCAGAACACCCGUGGCGAAGGCGGCCGGCUGGGCCGAUCCUGACGCUGAGGCGCGAAGGCGUGGGGAGCGAACGGG